rnacentral:lncRNA from 10 species
ACACAAUUUAACUGAACCCCGCCCGUUGUGGACUGACUUUGAUGCUCUGAGUCCCUCCCUCCUUCACGCCGCUAGCAGGCCCUGAUGUAGAUUGCCUUUGUCUUACUUGGGACGUUUACCUGAGCGCUUGGUGCUGGUGUCGGGACCGGGAGAUAGGAGUGUCUCAGGAGAGACCUGGCCGAAAACCGCGAGAAAGAAAAGUGAAGCCUAGUGAAACUGCCUUUGCAGUGACUCAAGAAAAACUCAUCACCUGGAGUCCGUGUAAGCUCGGCGACAGCCCUAGCAGCGAGGCCAAAACAGUUUGGGAAGAAAGAAAACCUAAAGUAUUUGCCGUUGGUGAUUCAAGGGAAUCAAACUUGACGUAUGGAGCCAAGAAAGCCCUUGGAAAAACUGGCCUCAUAUUUUGUGUACACAGUCCCUGUACAGGGUUUCUGACCUGUGAGAGCUUGGAGAUAAUUCUGGUGGCUGUGUGGAGUAUGUGUUGGAGGAUAACUACAUAAAGAGA